UACGGAGGGUGCGAGCGUUGUUCGGAAUUACUGGGCGUAAAGCGCAUGUAGGCGGCUUAUUAAGUCGGAUGUGAAAUCCCUUGGCUUAACCGAGGAACUGCAUUCGAUACUGGUAAGCUUGAGUGUCGGAGGGGAUGGUAGAAUUCCUGGUGUAGAGGUGAAAUUCGUAGAUAUCAGGAGGAAUACCUGUGGCGAAGGCGACCAUCUGGAAGACAACUGACGCUGAGAUGCGAAAGCGUGGGUAGCAAACAGG
rnacentral:rRNA from 1 species